CCUACGGGUGGCUGCAGUGGGGAAUAUUGGACAAUGGGCGAAAGCCUGAUCCAGCCAUGCCGCGUGUGUGAAGAAGGCCUUCGGGUUGUAAAGCACUUUCAGUGGGGAAGAAAGCCUUGGGGCUAAUACCCUCGAGGAAGGACAUCACCCACAGAAGAAGCACCGGCUAACUCCGUGCCAGCAGCCGCGGUAAUACGGAGGGUGCGAGCGUUAAUCGGAAUUACUGGGCGUAAAGCGCGCGUAGGCGGUCUGAUAAGCCGGUUGUGAAAGCCCCGGGCUCAACCUGGGAACGGCAUCCGGAACUGUCAGGCUAGAGUGCAGGAGAGGAAGGUAGAAUUCCCGGUGUAGCGGUGAAAUGCGUAGAGAUCGGGAGGAAUACCAGCGGCGAAGGCGGCCUUCUGGACUGACACUGACGCUGAGGUGCGAAAGCGUGGGUAGCAAACAGGAUUAGAUACCCGUGUAGUC
rnacentral:rRNA from 1 species